rnacentral:rRNA from 1 species
UACAUGGGGUGCAAACGUUGCUCGGAAUCAUUGGGCGUAAAGCGCACGUAGGCGGUUCGUUAUGUCGGAUGUGAAAGCCCUCGGCUUAACCGGGGAAGUGCAUCCGAAACUGGCGAGCUUGAGUACUAAAGAGGGUCGCGGAAUUCCCGGUGUAGCGGUGAAAUGCGUAGAUAUCGGAAGGAACAUCAGUGGCGAAAGCGACUUCCUGGACCAAUACUGACGCUCAUGUGCGAAAGCGUGGGGAGCAAACAGG